GACAGAGGUGCCGAGCGUUAGGCGGAAUCACUGGGCUUAAAGCGUGUGUAGGCGGAUCGUUAAGUACCUUGUGAAAUCCCAUGGCUCAACCAUGGAACUGCUUGGUAUACUGGCGGUCUUGAGCCAGCUAGGGGCUACCGGAACAAAUGGUGGAGCGGUGAAAUGCGUAGAGAUCGGUAGGAACACCAGUGGCGAAGGCGGUCUCCUGGAGCAUACUUGACGCUGAGGCGCGAAAGCUGGGGGAGCGAACGGG
rnacentral:rRNA from 1 species